UGUUACUUCUGUCAGAGCUGAACUUGAAAUUGCCAUCUCAUUUUUGGAGACCUACAGUUGAAUAUUUGCAUAUCUCUGGAAUGGUGUCUUAGUCUGUUUUGUGCUACUAUAACAGAAGACCACAGACUGAGUCAUUUAUAAGAGCAGAAAAUUUAUUUGGCUCAUGGAGCAGCCUAGAACCCUACUAUUAGGUCUGAGUCAGUCAGAUGGAAAGAAGGCGAAGUAGAAGCAUCGAGGUCGAAUCAGUCACACAUGGACUUCCCUAGUGGACUCAUUGAAAACCAGACCUUCUGAGCCACCCUUGGUAGGGGCUCUGGAAGUGGCUUCUGAAGAGACCCCAUUCUGCACCUCCACCAAGGGCCUGGUGGGAGAAGUGUGCCCUGCAGUGCCCUCAGAAAGGCCCACUGAAACUGCAAACAUUCCCUUUCUGCACUGCCAUUUGGUUCAUGAAGACAUAUGGCUGGGAGAAGUUGAGUAUCCUAUGUCACCUUUUAGUCCAACAAUUUUAUGGAGGCUUAGCAUGGGCAGGCCUGGUGCCAGGUGAUGAGGAUGCACAUGGGAGCAGAUCUGGCCCUGCACAUAGGAGCCCACAUUUCUGGAUAGUGGGGCGGAGGUGACACAUGUCCACAUAACUGCAGUGUACAGAGAUAGCAAAACAGUAAGAUACAGGAUGAUUGAAGGUCUGUCUGUAGCUCAUCCAAAUGAUAUGGUGACCAGUUCCCAAGAGGAAUCUCUACACGUUUCCUGCUAUUGAGCCUAUGGAGCGUGAUAAAAGAAAUCUGGGCUGGGUGUGGUGGCUCACGCCUGUAAUCCCACCACUUUGGGAGGCUGAGGUGGGUGGAUCACCUGAGGUCAGGAAUUCUAGACCAGCCUGGCCAACAUGACAAAACCCCUUCUCUACUAAAAAUACAAAAAAUUAGCCAGGCAUGGUGGCAGAUGCCUGUAAUCCCAGCUAUUUGGGAGGCUGAGGCAGGUGCCAUCCCAGCCAACAUGGCACCAUCCCAGCCAGCAUGGUGCUAUCCCAGAAAAUAUGGCACCAUUCUAACCAACAUGGCACCACCCCAGCCUCAGGUAUUCCUUUAUAGCAAUACGAAUGGACUAAGACACUGGCAUAGCAAUAACACUAAUAAAUAUAUAUUGACUGAAUGAAAGAACAAACAUGUUAUCUUUCUGAAAGAAUAUAUUUUUUGGCCAGGCUUGGUGGCUCACGCCUGUAAUCCCAGCACUUUGGGAGGCCGAGGCGGGUGGAUCACGAGGUCAGGAGAUCGAGACCAUCCUGGCUAACAUGGUGAAACCCCAUCUCUACUAAAAACACACACAAAAAAAAUUAGCCGGGCAUGGUGGCAAGCAUCUGUAGUCCCAGCUACUAGGGAAGCUGAGGCAGGAGAAUGGUGUAAGCUUGCAGUGAGCAGAGAUGGGCUUACUGCACUCCAGCCUGGGUGACAGAGCAAGACUCCGUCUCAAAAAAAGAAAAAGAAGAAUGUAUUUUUUACAACACAAUCAAAUCAAUGCCUUAAAACUAGGCUGUCAUCACAUUUUUCCCCCCGUUUUACAUACUUAAAUUGGCUAAAUCAAGAAUAGGGGCUGGCUCUCAGUCCCUACCUCGUGGGGGGUGCCUCCCCUCCCUGCGAUGGGGGUCCUAAGAGCCUGGGGCGGAAGAGGGGCUGGCUCUCAGCCACCACAAAAUGGGGAGCCUUUAUGUUCAGGUUUUGCCCAAGAGUCAGCUUAUUUGCUUCUGGUACUAGCAGGGCAGUUGAUGCCGUGGCCUUCAAACAUGGGGGCCAUCCUUUAGAAACCCUUUCUAUUUGUUUAGACACGUAGGCCACCGGCCUCAGCCAGGGCCCCAGAGUUUCGGUUAAAAUUCCAGCUGCCAUCUUUUCUCUAUCUGACGCAUUCAAUGGAAAAGGCUUUGUCAGAUCUGGUAGCCCCGGGGCUGGGGCUGCCAGAAGUUUUUCCUUUAACUCAUGAAAGACUUGCUGUUGUUGGGAUCCCCAUUCUAAAGGUUCCCGGUCCCCGCCCCCUUUGUGACCUCAUACAAAGACUUGGCUAAUACUGCAAAGUUUGGGAUGCACAGUCUACAAAACCCCACAGCCCCUAAGAAUUCCCUCACCUGCCUUCUGCCCUUAGGCUCCGGUAGAUUGCAAAUGACCUGCUUUCUUUCUGUUCCCGGGCGUUUGGACCCCUGUCUUGGACCGCUGUCGGAUAGUAAAUCCCAAGUAAGGUACCUGCCGUCGGCAGAUUUGAGCUUUCUUCUUGGACACCUAAUACCCAGAGUCCUCCAGGCUCCGGUAGAUUGCAAAUGACCUGCUUUCUUUCUGUUCCCGGGCGGCAUCGGACCCGUCGGAGAGUAAAUCCCAAGUAAGGUACCU
rnacentral:lncRNA from 10 species